rnacentral:rRNA from 1 species
AUUGAACGCUGGCGGCAUGCCUUACACAUGCAAGUCGAACGACAGCACGGGGUAACCUGGUGGCGAGUGGCGAACGGGUGAGUAAUGCAUCGGAACGUGCCACUGAGUGGGGGAUAACGUAGCGAAAGUUACGCUAAUACCGCAUAUACCCUGAGGGGGAAAGCAGGGGAUCGCAAGACCUUGUGCUCUUUGAGCGGCCGAUAUCAGAUUAGCUAGUUGGUGAGGUAAAGGCUCACCAAGGCGACGAUCUGUAGCGGGUCUGAGAGGAUGAUCCGCCACACUGGGACUGAGACACGGCCCAGACUCCUACGGGAGGCAGCAGUGGGGAAUUUUGGACAAUGGGCGCAAGCCUGAUCCAGCCAUGCCGCGUGAGUGAAGAAGGCCUUCGGGUUGUAAAGCUCUUUCGGCCGGGAAGAAAUCGUACAGGUUAAUACCCUGUGUGGAUGACGGUACCGGAAUAAGAAGCACCGGCUAACUACGUGCCAGCAGCCGCAGUAA